rnacentral:rRNA from 1 species
GAUGAACGCUGGCGGCGUGCCUAAUACAUGCAAGUCGAGCGAACAGAUGAGGAGCUUGCUCCUCUGACGUUAGCGGCGGACGGGUGAGUAACACGUGGAUAACCUACCUAUAAGACUGGGAUAACUUCGGGAAACCGGAGCUAAUACCGGAUAAUAUAUUGAACCGCAUGGUUCAAUAGUGAAAGACGGUUUUGCUGCCACUUAUAGAUGGAUCCGCGCCGCAUUAGCUAGUUGGUAAGAUAACGGCUUACCAAGGCAACGAUGCGUAGCCGACCUGAGAGGGUGAUCGGCCACACUGGAACUGAGACACGGUCCAGACUCCUACGGGAGGCAGCAGUAGGGAAUCUUCCGCAAUGGGCGAAAGCCUGACGGAGCAACGCCGCGUGAGUGAUGAAGGUCUUCGGAUCGUAAAACUCUGUUAUUAGGGAAGAACAAAUGUGUAAGUAACUAUGCACGUCUUGACGGUACCUAAUCAGAAAGCCACGGCUAACUACGUG